GCCGAAGUGGUGGAAUUGGCAGACGCGCUACGUUCAGGGCGUAGUGAGGUAACACUCGUGCGGGUUCGACUCCCGCCUUCGGCACCA
rnacentral:tRNA from 1 species